rnacentral:lncRNA from 1 species
GGAAAAAGUAUACAUAUGGUUUUUUAACUGAAAUGGAAUUUUUUACUCUCUCUAUUUAGUUUUUUCCAUCCCAGUUAUUGGAAUUUCCCACUGGGAUUUAGUGUGUGAAAUAUGGAACUUCCAUUUCAAAAGGGGAGGCUGAAUGAGUCAAUUAGAAAUACUGGGUAUUGAGACAAUUAGAUACUUUAAAAGAAAAAAAAACUUAUAGCAAAAUAAAUUUUAAACAUAAUUGGAGACAAAUUAUAAAAUUCAAAGCAUGCCCAAAGAAGAUGUUGAUGUUCCUGUUUGCAUACGGUACAUACUGCCCCAUGUCCCUAAACAGCCAACAGCAGAGGUGGAAAUCAUCCUACUACAUGAGAGGGACUUUGGCUUGGUGACAAUUGCAGCAGUCAUCACAGCAGGAAGAAGGGGUCAAAAGUGGCCCUUUCCAUGCACCAUCAACUCCAGCAUCCUCUGUGCCUUUCAGCAUCUCAUGUUCCUGAGAAACAAUACCUGGGGAGAGCUUCCUGUUUCGGUCCACAUUGAGGUCAUGUCUGCAUCCAUCCCUCCUCCUCCUGCUGGUUAUGCAGGGCAGAUCAGGAGCCUCCUGUCAUUGGUUGUGUUUCUUUCAAUGAGAAAACAACGAAUCAACCCAGCAGCCCAACGUAAACAGAAUUAUUUGUUUAAUUAUUUAUUUUCCUGUUGUAAAACAUGCACAAAAUUUACUUUUUAAGAUUUAGUGAUUGAAUCAGGCACUUCUGCUGUUAAGCCACAUCUGAAUGUAUUUUGCAAAAAAUGCUUAAUAAAAACAUUAAUGCUUACGUUUUCUCAGAGAACUGAGAUCACCUAAAAAGUCAGACCAAAUUGAAAACAGAGCAUGAAUAAGAAUGAUAACAACUUAUACAAAUAUUAGCACAGAUAAAUCCCAGGGGGGGUUGACAGCCUUCUGAUGACGCAUCCACUGCAGAGCUGUCAUUGUGUGGAGAGGCACAAUGACAGUGACCCUGCCCAGCAAGACUAGGAAGGGCAGCCACUUACUGCCCUGAUGACCACUUCAUAAGAAGAAUUACUUAUAGGACUUCUUCUUGUACUACUUCACAAAGUAGUUGUGUGUCUACCAUUGAUAUAACGCCACCAUUUUUCAUCAAGUCUUUCUUUUUAUCAAGAUAAAGAAAAGAGAUUCAGGCUAACCUGUUUUGAAAUUUAUAUACUUUGCCACUUACUAUAUUAUUAAAGAUUCAGUUUUCUUAUAAAUCUUCAGUUGUACAUGUUAAGUCUCUACUUUAGCUAUAUCUACCUUACUUCUGUGUCUAUCUGGCUAUCUACCAUCUACCUUUUUGUUUUCUCUUCACUGAGUUGCAAAAUGGAGAACCUCUUAAAAAAAGGUUUUAGUAUUCUGUAGUCUUUCAGCUAGAAAUAGUUUUUAUUAUUUUGUUUCUUAGAUAUAACAUUAACUUUUAUUCCUAUUGUGUGUUUGGAUAGGAAAAGCAAAAAAUGAAUAAGGAAAUAUUUAUUUUGAGCGAUAGUAUUAAAGUUAAAAAAUUUAAGAAAAUUGCCACAUUUCACCCUGCCUAAAAUAUAAUAAAAUUCCAGUUAGUUUUUUUUUGGUACCGGGGAUCGAACUUGGAUCCUUGGGCUUGCAAGGCAGGCAGCAGAACCACUGAGCUAAAUCCCCAGCCCUAAAAUGUAAUAAAAUUAAUCAAUGAUGAUUGAUUUAUUGAUUAUUUACUAUUCACAAAAUUUAGUAUUUAAUAAAGAUAUAUUGUACUAUUUUUAACACUGUUUAGGAAAACUCAUUAAACUGGCCCAAUCAAUAUAGUCUAAUUCAUUUAUGUUUGCUAAUGAAAGACAAGUUUGCAUUCGUAGUUGUGAAUAUAUAGAAUACACAG